ACCGGCGAUACCCGAAUGGGGAAACCCAGUGUGACUCGUCACACUAUCAUUAACUGAAUCCAUAGGUUAAUGAGGCGAACCGGGGGAACUGAAACAUCUAAGUACCCCGAGGAAAAGAAAUCAACCGAGAUUCCCCCAGUAGCGGCGAGCGAACGGGGAGGAGCCCAGAGCCUGAAUCAGCAUGUGUGUUAGUGGAAGCGUCUGGAAAGGCGCGCGAUACAGGGUGACAGCCCCGUACACAAAAGCGCAUGUGCUGUGAGCUCGAUGAGUAGGGCGGGACACGUGGUAUCCUGUCUGAAUAUGGGGGGACCAUCCUCCAAGGCUAAAUACUCCUGACUGACCGAUAGUGAACCAGUACCGUGAGGGAAAGGCGAAAAGAACCCCGGCGAGGGGAGUGAAAAAGAACCUGAAACCGUGUACGUACAAGCAGUGGGAGCACCCUUUGGGUGUGACUGCGUACCUUUUGUAUAAUGGGUCAGCGACUUAUAUUCUGUAGCAAGGUUAACCGAAUAGGGGAGCCGGAGGGAAACCGAGUCUUAAUUGGGCGUUAAGUUGCAGGGUAUAGACCCGAAACCCGGUGAUCUAGCCAUGGGCAGGUUGAAGGUUGGGUAACACUAACUGGAGGACCGAACCGACUAAUGUUGAAAAAUUAGCGGAUGACCUGUGGCUGGGGGUGAAAGGCCAAUCAAACCGGGAGAUAGCUGGUUCUCCCCGAAAGCUAUUUAGGUAGCGCCUCGUGAAUUCAUCUCCGGGGGUAGAGCACUGUUUCGGCUAGGGGGCCAUCCCGGCUUACCAACCCGAUGCAAACUGCGAAUACCGGAGAAUGUUAUCACGGGAGACACACGGCGGGUGCUAACGUCCGUCGUGAAGAGGGAAACAACCCAGACCGCCAGCUAAGGUCCCAAAGUCAUGGUUAAGUGGGAAACGAUGUGGGAAGGCCCAGACAGCCAGGAUGUUGGCUUAGAAGCAGCCAUCAUUUAAAGAAAGCGUAAUAGCUCACUGGUCGAGUCGGCCUGCGCGGAAGAUGUAACGGGGCUAAACCAUGCACCGAAGCUGCGGCAGCGACGCUUAUGCGUUGUUGGGUAGGGGAGCGUUCUGUAAGCCUGCGAAGGUGGCCUGUGAGGGUUGCUGGAGGUAUCAGAAGUGCGAAUGCUGACAUAAGUAACGAUAAAGCGGGUGAAAAGCCCGCUCGCCGGAAGACCAAGGGUUCCUGUCCAACGUUAAUCGGGGCAGGGUGAGUCGACCCCUAAGGCGAGGCCGAAAGGCGUAGUCGAUGGGAAACGGGUUAAUAUUCCCGUACUUGGUGUUACUGCGAAGGGGGGACGGAGAAGGCUAUGUUGGCCGGGCGACGGUUGUCCCGGUUUAAGCGUGUAGGCUGGUUUUCCAGGCAAAUCCGGAAAAUCAAGGCUGAGGCGUGAUGACGAGGCACUACGGUGCUGAAGCAACAAAUGCCCUGCUUCCAGGAAAAGCCUCUAAGCAUCAGGUAACAUCAAAUCGUACCCCAAACCGACACAGGUGGUCAGGUAGAGAAUACCAAGGCGCUUGAGAGAACUCGGGUGAAGGAACUAGGCAAAAUGGUGCCGUAACUUCGGGAGAAGGCACGCUGACACGUAGGUGAAGUGAUUUACUCACGGAGCUGAAGUCAGUCGAAGAUACCAGCUGGCUGCAACUGUUUAUUAAAAACACAGCACUGUGCAAACACGAAAGUGGACGUAUACGGUGUGACGCCUGCCCGGUGCCGGAAGGUUAAUUGAUGGGGUCAGCGCAAGCGAAGCUCCUGAUCGAAGCCCCGGUAAACGGCGGCCGUAACUAUAACGGUCCUAAGGUAGCGAAAUUCCUUGUCGGGUAAGUUCCGACCUGCACGAAUGGCGUAAUGAUGGCCAGGCUGUCUCCACCCGAGACUCAGUGAAAUUGAACUCGCUGUGAAGAUGCAGUGUACCCGCGGCAAGACGGAAAGACCCCGUGAACCUUUACUAUAGCUUGACACUGAACAUUGAGCCUUGAUGUGUAGGAUAGGUGGGAGGCUUUGAAGUGUGGACGCCAGUCUGCAUGGAGCCGACCUUGAAAUACCACCCUUUAAUGUUUGAUGUUCUAACGUGGACCCGUUACCCGGGUUGCGGACAGUGUCUGGUGGGUAGUUUGACUGGGGCGGUCUCCUCCUAAAGAGUAACGGAGGAGCACGAAGGUUGGCUAAUCCUGGUCGGACAUCAGGAGGUUAGUGCAAUGGCAUAAGCCAGCUUGACUGCGAGCGUGACGGCGCGAGCAGGUGCGAAAGCAGGUCAUAGUGAUCCGGUGGUUCUGAAUGGAAGGGCCAUCGCUCAACGGAUAAAAGGUACUCCGGGGAUAACAGGCUGAUACCGCCCAAGAGUUCAUAUCGACGGCGGUGUUUGGCACCUCGAUGUCGGCUCAUCACAUCCUGGGGCUGAAGUAGGUCCCAAGGGUAUGGCUGUUCGCCAUUUAAAGUGGUACGCGAGCUGGGUUUAGAACGUCGUGAGACAGUUCGGUCCCUAUCUGCCGUGGGCGCUGGAGAACUGAGGGGGGCUGCUCCUAGUACGAGAGGACCGGAGUGGACGCAUCACUGGUGUUCGGGUUGUCAUGCCAAUGGCACUGCCCGGUAGCUAAAUGCGGAAGAGAUAAGUGCUGAAAGCAUCUAAGCACGAAACUUGCCCCGAG
rnacentral:rRNA from 1 species